GUGCUUGCUUUGACAGCACAUAUACUAAAAUUGGAAUGAUACAGAGAUUAGCAUGGCCCCUGUGCAAGGAUGGCACACAAAUUCAUGAAGCAAAGAAACAGAGAUUC
ensembl:snRNA U6 U6 spliceosomal RNA